AUGGUUAAGUCCUCGAUCUAUUAGUAUUCGUCAGCUCCACAUGUCACCAUGCUUCCACCUCGAACCUAUCAACCUGAUCAUCUUUCAGGGAUCUUACUAGCUUACGCUAUGGGAAAUCUCAUCUUGAGGGGGGCUUCAUGCUUAGAUGCUUUCAGCACUUAUCCCUUCCGCACAUAGCUACCCAGCUAUGCCCUUGGCAGAACAACUGGUACACCAGCGGUGCGUCCAUCCCGGUCCUCUCGUACUAAGGACAGCUCCUCUCAAAUUUCCUACGCCCACGACGGAUAGGGACCGAACUGUCUCACGACGUUCUGAACCCAGCUCGCGUACCGCUUUAAUGGGCGAACAGCCCAACCCUUGGGACCGACUACAGCCCCAGGAUGCGAUGAGCCGACAUCGAGGUGCCAAACCUCCCCGUCGAUGUGGACUCUUGGGGGAGAUAAGCCUGUUAUCCCCGGGGUAGCUUUUAUCCGUUGAGCGAUGGCCCUUCCAUGCGGAACCACCGGAUCACUAAGCCCGACUUUCGUCCCUGCUCGACUUGUAGGUCUCGCAGUCAAGCUCCCUUAUGCCUUUGCACUCUACGAAUGAUUUCCAACCAUUCUGAGGGAACCUUUGGGCGCCUCCGUUACACUUUAGGAGGCGACCGCCCCAGUCAAACUGCCCACCUGACACUGUCUCCCGGGUCGAUAAGACCCGUAGGUUAGAAUUUCAAUACAGUCAGGGCGGUAUCCCACCAGCGCCUCCACCGAAGCUAGCGCUCCGGUUUCAAUGGCUCCCGCCUAUCCUGUACAAACUGUACCAAAAUUCAAUAUCAGGCUACAGUAAAGCUCCACGGGGUCUUUCCGUCCUGUCGCGGGUAACCUGCAUCUUCACAGGUACUAUAAUUUCACCGAGUCUCUGGUUGAGACAGUGCCCAAAUCGUUACACCUUUCGUGCGGGUCGGAACUUACCCGACAAGGAAUUUCGCUACCUUAGGACCGUUAUAGUUACGGCCGCCGUUUACUGGGGCUUCAGUUCAGAGCUUCGCUUACGCUAACCCCUCUCCUUAACCUUCCAGCACCGGGCAGGUGUCACCCCCUAUACUUCGCCUUACGGCUUCGCAGAGAGCUGUGUUUUUGCUAAACAGUCGCUUGGGCCUAUUCACUGCGGCUUUCCGUUAAGAAAGCACCCCUUCUCCCGAAGUUACGGGGUCAUUUUGCCGAGUUCCUUAACCAGAGUUCUCUCGCACACCUUAGGAUUCUCUCCUCGCCUACCUGUGUCGGUUUGCGGUACAGGCACCUUUUAUCUCGCUAGAAGCUUUUCUUGGCAGCGGGGAAUCAAAGACUUCGCUCCAUAAGGAGCUUCCCCAUCACAGCUCAGCCUUUAUGAUAAGCGGAUUUGCCUACUUAUCAGCCUAACUGCUUGGACGUGCACAACCAAUCGCACGCUUCUUCUAUCCUUCUGCGUCCCUCCAUUGCUCAAACGAUAAAGAGGUGGUACAGGAAUAUCAACCUGUUGUCCAUCGCCUACGCCUGUCGGCCUCGGCUUAGGUCCUGACUAACCCUGAGCGGACGAGCCUUCCUCAGGAAACCUUAGGCAUUCGGUGGACGGGAUUCUCACCCGUCUUUCGCUACUCAUACCGGCAUUCUCACUUCUAAGCACUCCACCAGUCCUUACGGUCUGACUUCACUGUCCUUAGAACGCUCCCCUACCACUGAUACCAUUCGGUAUCAAUCCGCAGCUUCGGUGGUGUAUUUAGCCCCGGUACAUUUUCGGCGCAGAGUCACUCGACUAGUGAGCUAUUACGCACUCUUUAAAUGGUGGCUGCUUCUAAGCCAACAUCCUAGUUGUCUAAGCAACUCCACAUCCUUUUCCACUUAAUACACACUUUGGGACCUUAGCUGGCGGUCUGGGCUGUUUCCCUUUUGACUACGGAUCUUAUCACUCGCAGUCUGACUCCUAAGGAUAAGUCAUUGGCAUUCGGAGUUUGACUGAAUUCGGUAAUCCGAUGAGGACCCCUAGUCCAAUCAGUGCUCUACCUCCAAGACUCUUACACUUAAGGCUAGCCCUAAAGCUAUUUCGGGGAGAACCAGCUAUCUCCAGGUUCGAUUGGAAUUUCUCCGCUACCCACACCUCAUCCCCGCACUUUUCAACGUGCGUGGGUUCGGGCCUCCAUUCAGUGUUACCUGAACUUCACCCUGGACAUGGGUAGAUCACCUGGUUUCGGGUCUACGACCACGUACUAAACGCCCUAUUCAGACUCGCUUUCGCUGCGGCUCCGCCUCUUCAGCUUAACCUCGCACGGGAUCGUAACUCGCCGGUUCAUUCUACAAAAGGCACGCCAUCACCCGUUAACGGGCUCUGACUAUUUGUAGGCACACGGUUUCAGGAUCUCUUUCACUCCCCUUCCGGGGUGCUUUUCACCUUUCCCUCACGGUACUGGUUCACUAUCGAUCACUAGGGAGUAUUUAGCCUUGGGAGAUGGUCCUCCCAGAUUCCGACGGAAUUUCACGUGUUCCGCCGUACUCAGGAUACAUUCAAGAGAGAACGAAGUUUCGACUACGGGGUUGUUACCCUCUACGACGGACCUUUCCAGGUCGCUUCGUCUACCUCGUUCCUUUGUAACUCCGUAUAGAAUGUCCUACAACCCCAAGAGGCAAGCCUCUUGGUUUGGGCUAUGUUCCGUUUCGCUCGCCGCUACUCAGGAAAUCGCAUUUGCUUUCUCUUCCUCCAGGUACUUAGAUGUUUCAGUUCCCUGGGUCUGUCUUCCUUACCCUAUGUAUUCAGAUAAGGAUACCAUACCAUUACGUAUGGUGGGUUUCCCCAUUCGGAAAUCUUCGGAUCAAAGCUUACUUACAGCUCCCCGAAGCAUAUCGGCGUUAGUCCCGUCCUUCAUCGACUCCUAGUGUCAAGGCAUCCACCGUGCGCCCUUUCUAACUUAA
rnacentral:rRNA from 1 species